AUGAGCGUGCAAAAGCUGUGAAUGUGAUUUUUUUUUUUUUACUUUAUUCUUUUUCCUUGAGAAAGAGCUUUUCUACCUCAGAUUGCGUGAAAGAAAAUAUAAAUUCCAAGGCCACCCCCCCUUCAAGGAUGGCUUGCAGAAGGUGUUAUUUGUCUUUAAAUACUCUGCACCAGUUUUGCUGUCCAGCUCCAUUGUACCAUUCCCAGCUAGCUGUCCCUGCCACACACUCAGAGUACAGUGAGACCUGUGAAAACAAAAUGAUAAUGCAAAGGAUGUUAUAGUACCAAAGAAAUCCCAUCAUUUUCUUGCAGUCUCUGCCUGCUUAAUGUUUAAUCAGCACCUCUGGGAGGGAAGAUAGUGUCCUGCACCAGUUCUGCUGCCCACCCUCGGGCUCUAGCAGCCCCUCCUCGAGAUGACAGCGCAGCUGGGCUCUGCUGCAGCCCCUGCUCCUGUGCCCAGCUCCUCUCCUCCCUCUCUGUGGGCAUGGACUGGCACUGCCCUGGGACCCCGUGCUGCCAGUCUGAGCAAUGCCUCCUCUCCAGCUCCCCACAGCUCUCUCCUCCUGCCCAGUGCUGAGGACACACGCCAGCUGUGAACACAUCCCUCCAGUGCACACUUUAUUUUCAGCUCAAAUAAACGGUACCAUAAGCC